rnacentral:lncRNA from 1 species
GGGAUGGGGCAAUGCCAGAACUGGUGCAAAGGCACCCUUUCUGUCCCAGUGCUUUCAGAAGUGAGUAGGAAGCCCCACGAUGCUGCUGCCAGCAGCGCUCACACUCAGGUCGGCCAGGGACAAGGGCUGAAUUUUGCACCUAUACUCGCCACACCAGCAGGCGAGGGGCAGAGCAUAUUGUGCUGCCAGCACAUUAAGUUACUUGGAAACAGUUGUGUUCCAGUUUGGUCUUGUUUUUAAGCUUUCUGAGUUGGGACCAGGGGUAGUUUUUAUGUAACAAGGCUCACUGCAGCCUCAACCUCCUGCAAUCAAAUGAUCCUCCCACUUCAGCCUCCUAUGUAGCUGGGACUACAGGCGUACACCACCAUGUGUGUCUAACUUUUAAAUUUACUUUUACUUUUUGUAGAGAUGAGGUCUCACUUUGUUGCCUAGGCUGAUCUCAAACUCCUGGGCUGAAGCAAUCCUCCUGCCUCACCUUCACAAAGUGCUGGGGUUACAGGCAUGAGCCACCACACCCACCUGAUGACAAGGAUUUUAAAGCAGCCACCAUAAAAAUGCUUCAGUGAGCAAUUAUAAACACUCUUGAAGCCAUUUAAAGAAAAAAAAAAAACAGUCUCAGCAAAUAGUCUCAGCAAAUAGCCUCAGCAAAUAAAGAGAAGAUAUAAAAAAUAAACCAAAUGGAAAUUUUAACUGAAAUAUACAAUGACAGUCAAAGUUAAAGUACUGCAUGGAUGGUUCAAGAGCAGAAUGGAAAGAGUAAACAACCAGUUAUUUUAACAUUCCCAAUAGUAGCCUACAACUUCCAUUUCCACUGUGGACCCAAGCUGUGAGGGGCUGAGUCUCUCCUAGGUGCAGGGCAGCACAGGAACUGGCUGCACAAGGCCAGAGAGGUUACGUGGCGGCUCUCUUUAAAUUAGACCACACAGAGCGCUUCAUUCCCUGUGCAGUCUUCACGUCUUCCCAGUCCAGUUUGACGUCUGGAACCUCAUCUUCUGGCUCUGGAUCCUUCCUCA